CUACCAUGCAAGUCGAACGGCAGCACAGGAGAGCUUGCUCUCUGGGUGGCGAGUGGCGGACGGGUGAGGAAUACAUCGGAAUCUACUCUGUCGUGGGGGAUAACGUAGGGAAACUUACGCUAAUACCGCAUACGACCUACGGGUGAAAGCAGGGGAUCUUCGGACCUUGCGCGAUUGAAUGAGCCGAUGUCGGAUUAGCUAGUUGGCGGGGUAAAGGCCCACCAAGGCGACGAUCCGUAGCUGGUCUGAGAGGAUGAUCAGCCACACUGGAACUGAGACACGGUCCAGACUCCUACGGGAGGCAGCAGUGGGGAAUAUUGGACAAUGGGCGCAAGCCUGAUCCAGCCAUACCGCGUGGGUGAAGAAGGCCUUCGGGUUGUAAAGCCCUUUUGUUGGGAAAGAAAUCCAGCUGGCUAAUACCCGGUUGGGAUGACGGUACCCAAAGAAUAAGCACCGGCUAACUUCGUGCCAGCAGCCGCGGUAAUACGAAGGGUGCAAGCGUUACUCGGAAUUACUGGGCGUAAAGCGUGCGUAGGUGGUCGUUUAAGUCCGUUGUGAAAGCCCUGGGCUCAACCUGGGAACUGCAGUGGAUACUGGACGACUAGAGUGUGGUAGAGGGUAGCGGAAUUCCUGGUGUAGCAGUGAAAUGCGUAGAGAUCAGGAGGAACAUCCAUGGCGAAGGCAGCUACCUGGACCAACACUGACACUGAGGCACGAAAGCGUGGGG
rnacentral:rRNA from 1 species